GAAAACAUUCAAGAGGGCUCUUUGUGUUGGAGCAAAGCAGCGGGACAGGACUAAGGCAAAAAUGGUAACUCAGGCCAACGUGCUGGCAUCCGUGGGAUUGAUUCCUACAGGUUUAAUAUAGCUCAAGCUAAGAGCGUGGUUACAUGUUGUUGCAAACUCAAGCACCACUAGAACUGACUAUUGAGAUUGGCAACGGGAACCAAGGGCAAAGUGCUUGGAACGAAUAUAUGGUUUUUCUCCAAGAUAGGCUGGGAAAACAUGUCCCGUCAAGACACCGCCGUUCUGAUGUGUGUCUGAAACUAUGUGGAAACGACUGAGUGGAGCAGAGGCUGAGGAUUUUGUCAUCGCAAUGAGAGAGAUUCGGGUUCGGACCUCAGCUGCGUGCCUGCUACCUGAGCUGUACUCGGGCAAGGUCGUGGCAGGAGAUUUCAGCCAUUGGAAAAUUAGAAUCUUAUUCAGGAGAGGAGAACACAAAUGGGAAGACCGUGGAGAGUGUUAGACUGAUCUUCUGGACCUUCUGCUGUGCACGGCGUAGCCGGCAGGGGACAACGUCUCGUGUGUAUUGUAGCAUCGCCCAGAUGCAGACACCGUGCAGGAAAUCUUUGGAUGGUGGCUGUGAUGAAGACGGUGAUGGUAUUGACGCCAUGACGACGGAGUAAAGCAAAGCGAACUGGAGGGGCGGAUUGCUUCAGCUGCGUUCCUGUCCUCGGGUGUCCAAAGGCGCCUCACAAAAGGACGUUCUUCCACUGCUCUGAGGCUGUGCGGGCUUGGCCUGAGAGAAUCAAGAAUAAAGCUGAUUGCAAACUUGGUGCAUAACAGAGAAAAUAAAGACAUCAUUUACUGACUGA